UCGAUUCGAUUUACCUUCGGGUAUUGAGGAUGGCGGACGGGUGAGUAACGCGUAAGGAACUUGCCUCUUGGUCUGGGACAACUGUUGGAAACGACAGCUAAUACCGGAUAUUAUGAGAUUCUCGCAUGGGAAACUUAUGAAAGCUAUAUGCGCCAAGAGAGAGCCUUGCGUUCCAUUAGCUAGUUGGUGGGGUAACGGCCCACCAAGGCGACGAUGGAUAGCCGGCCUGAGAGGGUGAACGGCCACAAGGGGACUGAGACACGGCCCUUACUCCUACGGGAGGCAGCAGUGGGGAAUAUUGGACAAUGGGCCACAAGCCUGAUCCAGCAAUUCUGUGUGCACGAUGAAGGUCUUCGGAUUGUAAAGUGCUUUCAGUUGGGAAGAAGAAAGUGACGGUACCAACAGAAGAAGCGACGGCUAAAUACGUGCCAGCAGCCGCGGUAAUACGUAUGUCGCAAGCGUUAUCCGGAUUUAUUGGGCGUAAAGCGCGUCUAGGCGGAAAAAUAAGUCUGAUGUUAAAAUGCGGGGCUCAACUCCGUAUUGCGUUGGAAACUGUUUUUUCUAGAGUACUGGAGAGGUGGGCGGAACUACAAGUGUAGAGGUGAAAUUCGUAGAUAUUUGUAGGAAUGCCGAUGGAGAAGUCAGCUCACUGGACAGAUACUGACGCUAAAGCGCGAAAGCGUGGGGAGCAAACAGG
rnacentral:rRNA from 1 species